AUUGAACGCUGGCGGCAUGCUUUACACAUGCAAGUCGAACGGUAACAGGCCUUCGGGUGCUGACGAGUGGCGAACGGGUGAGUAAUGCAUCGGAACGUGCCCAGAGGUGGGGGAUAACGCAGCGAAAGCUGUGCUAAUACCGCAUGUGAUCUGAGGAUGAAAGCGGGGGACCAGGCAGCAAUGUUUGGCCUCGCGCCUUUGGAGCGGCCGAUGUCAGAUUAGGUAGUUGGUGGGGUAAAGGCCUACCAAGCCGACGAUCUGUAGCUGGUCUGAGAGGACGACCAGCCACACUGGGACUGAGACACGGCCCAGACUCCUACGGGAGGCAGCAGUGGGGAAUUUUGGACAAGGGGCGCAAGCCUGAUCCAGCAAUGCCGCGUGCGGGAAGAAGGCCUUCUGGUUGUAAACCGCUUUUGUACGGAGCGAAAAGGCUCUGGCUAAUACCUGGUGCUGAUGACGGUACCGUAAGAAUAAGCACCGGCUAACUACGUG
rnacentral:rRNA from 1 species